AGUGGUUGGUUGAUGCAAAAGAAAAACCUGUUAGAGCAAGCUUUUAUUUCAAUUUUUCCUUUUGUGAUUACAAGUCAAAGACACUUUCUCAAGCAUAGCUCUUUGUAACGCUUUCUCUUUCUUGUAUGUUCUUCUGUCAUUUGUUUUAGAAUCUCGUACACCGCUCCGGUUGCAUCCGGAAAGUAUCUGCAACGUUCGGGUUUUGUGUAGCUUUUAUCCAGGUUUACGAGUAGAAACGCUGGUAAUAACUGAUUUGUUCUUAUUUUACCUGCUCAAACUGCGUUUUCUUUAUCAGACUCUGUUGCCUCUUCUUAACACACUUCUUAACUCAGACUGUCACUGUGUCACAUAAGAAUCAUAUGGCUCCAAAUGCUGAUCAUCCUACUGGAAUGCGUAAGCUCUUCAUCUGCAGGGUGGUUUCCAUCUUGGAUAUUAGUGUGCAUUAAGUUGCAGGGCUAAGAAUGGUACGAUAUUAAGUCAUUAACUAAUAAUCUUCUUUGAUAUCCCGCUGUUGGAUGCCAACCAUGAUUGGUUUGUCAUGAACAGCUUGUUGGAUGUGAAGUAACCUCAGUCUCAGCCACCACUUCCCAUGUGGAUAGGACUUUACCCGCCCCAGACAAUAUAACAUCAAACUUGUAUAAGACUUUACCCGCACCAGGCAAUAUAUACAUCAAUCUAUGUUCCACAGCACACUAAUAUCACAUGAAUUCUCAAAUCCAGGAUGUUUCUUUGCUCCGCAGUCAGCUUGAGAACAGAUGCUCCGGUUUUUUUUUUUUAUAUAUGGUUGUGUCUUCAAGGUCUCCCUCCAAAGGCAUGUAGUAAGAUUUAGAUGUUCUGCUUUCUAAUAUACCUUAGCCUAAGAACCAUAAUUUUUCUUAUCUAUUUUUAGAUAUUAUGGAGAUUUGUCGGAUUAAAAGGUCUGUACAACUUGAGCGUGGAGUCAAAGAUGGCCGACAUGGUUACAUGGCCACAGUUUACGGGGAAGGAGGGACAUCGAGGACCAUCUUUUACCCGUUCAGUGGAGUGACUGAAGAGCUAAAAGCGUUCUUCAGUGACAUUUCAGAGACUUCAAAGGUAAUCCUCGAAUCUUAAGCCUUGGAAAUGGAAUGCAGUAACUCAAAACAUUAGUGUUCUAUUAUCUUAAACCCUCCGGACAUAUGCAUUUGCUGCAGGAGCAAGAGCCUCGUCGACUAUCAUGCGUGGAAGGUACUCGUGACGUUGCUGUUCUUGGGGCAAUGCUUGAAUCUGGUGCAAGAAACGGAGCUGUAGUUCCUGUGGCGAAGUUCUAGCUUUGAAACUUUGAUAAUGAUUUACACAUCAAGAGACCACCACAGCUUAGUUGGAAUAAAAAUUCAAACUAAUAUUAUUUGUAAACAUUCCUUUAUUACCGAGAGCAUUUUAAAGCUUAUAUGAAAUAAUUACAAGAAGAAUUUCAAACAGAUUAAAAACAUAUAACUCAUCAUCAUCAUCAUCUAAGUUAA